AUUGAACGCUGGCGGCAGGCCUAACACAUGCAAGUCGAACGAGUGGCGGACGGGUGAGUAAUGUCUGGGAAACUGCCUGAUGGACGGGGAUAACUACUGGAAACGGUAGCUAAUACCGCAUACCAUCGGAUGUGCCCAGAUGGGAUUAGCUAGUAGGUGGGGUAAAGGCUCACUUAGGCGACGAUCCCUACCUGGUCUGAGAGGAUGACCAGCUACACGGGAACUGAGACACGGGCCAGACUCUUAAGGGAGGCAGCAGUGGGGAAUAUUGCACAAUGGGCGAAAGCCUGAUGCAGCAAGGCCGCGUGUAUGAAGAAGGCGUUCGGGUUGUAAAGUACUUGCAGCGGGGAGGCGUUACCCGCAGAAGAAGCACCGGCUAACUCCGUGCCAGCAGCCGCGGUAAUUC
rnacentral:rRNA from 1 species